rnacentral:rRNA from 1 species
ACCUGCGGAAGGAUCAUUAUCGAGUUCUUGAAAUGGGUUGUAGCUGGCCUUCCGAGGCAUGUGCACGCCCUGCUCAAUCCACUCUACACCUGUGCACUUACUGUAGGUUUCUUGGUUGCGUUGGGUCUCUUCACUGGGGCUCGGCAAAGCCGAGGGGCUUAUGUCUUACUACAAACUAUAAAGUAAAUGAAUGUAUACCGCGUCUAACGCAUCUAUAUACAACUUUCAGCAACGGAUCUCUUGGCUCUCGCAUCGAUGAAGAACGCAGCGAAAUGCGAUAAGUAAUGUGAAUUGCAGAAUUCAGUGAAUCAUCGAAUCUUUGAACGCACCUUGCGCUCCUUGGUAUUCCGAGGAGCAUGCCUGUUUGAGUGUCAUGAAAUUCUCAACCUACAAGCCUUUUCGGAGGUCCUUGUACGGCUUGGACUUGGAGGGUCAUUGUCGGCAGUGAUGUCGGCUCCUCUUAAACGCAUUAGCUAGUUCUCGCGGAACGGCUUUCGGUGUGAUAAUUGUCUACGCCGUGGUCGUGCCGGGUAUAUGGACAAGCUUCUAAACCGGCACUCCCUGGUAAGGAACCCUAUUUUGGACUCCGAACUCCAAUCCGGGAAGAAUACCCGCCUAACUUAAGCAUAUUAAUAAAGGGAAGAAAAGAAACUUACCAAGAAUCCCCUAAUAACUGGCAGUGAAGCGGGAAAAGCUCAAAUUUUAAAUCUGGCCGUCUUUGGCCCUCCCAGUUGGAAUCUG